rnacentral:rRNA from 1 species
CCUACGGGAGGCAGCAGUGGGGAAUAUUGGGCAAUGGGCGCAAGCCUGACCCAGCAACGCCGCGUGAGGGAAGAAGGCUUUCGGGUUGUAAACUUCUUUUAUCAGGGACGAAGCAAGUGACGGUACCUGAUGAAUAAGCCACUGCUAACUACGUGCCAGCAGCCGCGGUAAGACGUAGGUGGCAAGCGUUAUCCGGAUUUACUGGGUGUAAAUGGCGUGUCGGCGGGUGUGCAAGUCAGAUGUGAAAACUAUGGGCUCAACCCAUAGCCUGCAUUUGAAACUGUACUUCUUGAGUGCAGGAGAGGCAAUCGGAAUUCCGGGUGUAGCGGUGAAAUGCGUAGAUAUACGGAGGAACACCAGUGGCGAAGGCGGAUUGCUGGACAGUAACUGACGCUGAGGCGCGAAAGCGUGGGGAGCAAACAGGAUUAGAUACCCUGGUAGUC